rnacentral:rRNA from 1 species
GCAGCCGCCGCGGGAAUACAGAGGGUGCGAGCGUUAAUCGGAUUUACUGGGCGUAAAGCGUGCGUAGGCGGCUUCUUAAGUCGGAUGUGAAAUCCCUGAGCUUAACUUAGGAAUUGCAUUCGAUACUGGGAAGCUAGAGUAUGGGAGAGGAUGGUAGAAUUCCAGGUGUAGCGGUGAAAUGCGUAGAGAUCUGGAGGAAUACCGAUGGCGAAGGCAGCCAUCUGGCCUAAUACUGACGCUGAGGUACGAAAGCAUGGGGAGCAAACAGGAUUAGAGACCCCUGUAGUCCCUGUCUCUUAUAU